rnacentral:lncRNA from 11 species
AGAUACACACACACCCCACUUGCAAUGUAACAUUCGCACUUGUUAGCUGGCCCUGAUUGUUUCAUGUCUGGAAUUCCUCCUGUUUACUGAUUGUUAUGUACUGCCCCUGAUAGUAGAGUUAUUUUUUUAUUAUUAUUCUUUUCUUAGGGAGUGGAGUGACCCUUAAAUAAAAAGCAAUGGGUUGGUUCUAGCAUCGGAAUCCCCCCCACCUUUUUUUUUCAACAGGAGGAGGGGGGGGGGAGGCAAAGCCCUGCAAAGCCCGGAUUGACGUCAGAGCCACGGGACACGUGACGGCGGCGGCCAAUCAGCGCGGGAGCCUGCUUCUUCCCCGCAACGCUCUUUCUCUCUCCUCAGCGGAGCCUGGGAGCCGAAGCAGCUGGAGAAGGAUGCAGCCCGCCAUGAGCCUGGGCUUCCGCCACUGAGCCCCGACGGGUGUAUUUCCCUCUCUGUGCCCCGGGAAGGCUUCCAGCCCUCCGGCCGCCGCUCCCCGCCUCGCCCGCUCCCCGAGGAGAAUGGAUUUCGGCCGGGACGGGGGCGAGGGGCGCCCCCUGGAGGAGAGCAAGGCGGGCGCCCCGCUCUGCCGCCGGGGCCUCCACUGCAGCGGGAUGCGCUACAAGCUGCUCCAGGAGGGCGACAUCCAGGUCUGCGUCGUCCGGCACCCGCGCACCUUCCUCAGCAAAGAUCCUCACCUCCAAGUUCCUGCGCCGAUGGGAGCCGCACCACCUGGCCCUGGCCGACGGCAGCCUGGCCUCCGCCACGCCAACUGGGUACAUGGAAAACUCAAUUUCCUACAGCUCAAUUGAAGACGUUCAGCUGCUUUCUUGGGAGAAUGCCCCGAAGUAUUGUUUACAGCUCACAAUCCCUGGAGGCACAGUCUUGUUACAGGCUGCAAACAGUUACCUGAGGGAUCAGUGGUUUCAUUCCUUGCAGUGGAAGGUAGGCGCUCUAUGUUUCUGGAAAGAUUGUUUCAGAGAGAGCGAGAUCCUUGAAUUAACUCCUAUCACUCUUCAUUAUUGCAUUCUGUUAUUUGGAGACCCUCCUGGUUUCCUGUACUGGAUGAUGGUCCAAUCCAUUUUGGAAAGACAUGACCUUUUAGAGACUAUAACAUUUUGGAAAACCCAAAUCUCCAUACCCAUUUGAAGCAUGACCCUUUUGGGAAAUCAAUUGGCAUUUACACUAUUUGGAAUAAUCAUAACCUUUUUGUAAAAUAUGAUCAUACUUUACAAAGUAUGAUCUUCCUGGGAAGAGUUAAAAACUCGCUUGAGUCAAUCGUCUCCUUGAUGGUAAAUAUCCACUAGUAUUCAUGCAAGAAAAUUUAGGUUUUUCCGUGGUUAGGCUGAUAUCUCUAGUUUUCUCUUUGAACUGUUAGGAACAAAGAUGUGCCAAUGCACAAAAUAUAUAGCAGAUCUUCAGAAGUGUUACAGUAGAGUCUCACUUAUCCAACAUAAAUGGGCCGGCAGAACGUUGGAUAAGCGAAUAUGUUGGAUAAUAAGGAGAGAUUAAGGAGAAGCCUAUUAAACAUCAAAUUAGGUUAUGAUUUUACAAAUUAAGCACCAAAACAUCAUGUUAUACAACACAUUUGACAGAAAAAGUAGUUCAAUACGCAGGAAUGCUACGUAGUAAUUACUGUAUUUACGAAUUUAGCACGAAGAUAUCACGAUGUAUUGAAAACAUUGACUACAAAAACGCGUUGGAUAAUCCAGAACGUUGGAUAAGCGAGUGUUGGAUAAGUGAGACUCUACUGUAUUGUAUGCUGGAUUUCGUAUCACAAAAUCACAAGUCGAACACUUCCCAAGCGUUUAGGACUGUGUGAUGUAUUUUCAGGUGAUGCGCGCAGAUCCCAGUAAGGUGGCCUUUUGCAGUUGGCAGAUCGUACUUUUGUCAAUGUUUAUUGUUUCCAAAUGCCGGCUGAGAUCUUUUGGCAUGGCACCCAAUGUGCCGAUCACCACCGGGACCACCUGCACUGGUUUCUGCCAGAGUCUUUGAAGUUCAAUCUUGAGGUCCUGAUAGCGGCUGAGUUUUUCCUGUUGAUGAUGAUGAUGAUGAUUAUUAUUAUUAUUGUGUGUUGCUUCCUGGCAGAAGGGGUUGGACUAGAUGGCCUCUGGGAUUCUUCUACUGUAUGCAUCUAGCAUUUUGCAGCCCAUUCACUCAGCAAGAAAGAAGGAAUAGCAAUUUUUCUUUUCCCAGUCGGCUCAGGCAAGAGCAAAUUGCUGCCGCUUCUCCUAUUUGUGUGUCCUGCCUCAUUAAUACUUAUGACUGACCAUACUCUGAUGUUGCUUAGUCACACAUGUACCUGCUUUCAUCUGGGAAGUGUUGGAGGGUUUGUCACAGCUUAUGGAAAACACGGAUGCAUCCAGAGAGGUAAUCUGUGCACAUUUUUAGCUGGCUUUUGACAACCUCUUCCUCACCCCAAGAACUGAGCAGUUGUUCUUUUAAAAGCUUUUUUGCAUGCGAGAAAAAGCAGAGGAGAUGGAUAGCUGUUGUCCAGAAUCGGGUCAAAGGUCCAAUUCAAGUCUCCGAAAGGGAUCUACAAUAUAUAAAAUAAGGGAAGGGGGGCAAUUGUGUUCCCUCCCUUUGUGAGAAUAGCAUGACAGCUUUGUGCCUUGGGUUUGUGGCUCAGCUCUGCCGAUAAAACCCCAAUUGUGACAGGUUUGGCUUUGGGUCACAAAGGUUUGGGAGCCACACUGCACUAGCCUUUGCUGAGGGUCCGGUGCAGAAGCGAGGAGAGAAAUUGCUGCAAUGGUGACAGCGGCAGCUUCUCGAGACCAAUAUCUUCCCGAGGUUUUGACAGCCCUCCGCUGCUCUGGCUGACGACACUGAUGAUGCAGGUACCCCGGCGGAGAGAGAAGAGCCCAUUUUGCAGCCAUUUAUGGCAAAGCCAGGCUCAAACCACAGCCAGAGAGUGCCAGAGUGUUGUGUUUUGCUUUCUCCCCCCUAAGAGAAGUCAGGAGCAUCAUCGGUAGGUAAAGAGAGGAUGGAGAAAAGGCGAAAGAGGCUGCAUGCCACGCAAUCAGAUCUCCGAAUCAGAUUGAAAGAGACUCAUGUCCAUUCUGAUCCUUUUCGCAGCAGUUCUCUGCCUUCUGCAACUGAAAACAGAAAAUCGCCUCGAAAAGGAUCAGAACGGACACGCAUCCCUUUCAAUCUGAUACUAAAUUGGAAAUUGAUCCAAAAAGGAGCCCCUUCUUAGGAAACAGAUAUUCAUUAUUGGGCUAUCAGGUCUGCAUCUUGGAAAUGAAAUGCAAGGAUUUGGGGGAUUUUCCUUUCUUUUGUUUAUGCUCUUGGUUAUCGGAGGAGAUUCGACAUUUGUAUGUGUGUGCCUGUGUAUUCGUUUUGCCUUGCGGUUGCAACCGGAGGCUGUUACCUGGGCAACCGGCGGCUGGACCCAGCUUCUCUGCAACGGGAUAUUUUUGCAAGGAUGCCGUCUCCACCACCGGCUUGUAGAACAACAGGUCAAAGUACAAGAAGAUAAGGCCUUGGUUGGCUCUGCUUUUAACAGGGUUAAUGAGCAAUCCGGCCCAAGAGGCAGACAAUGAACAUCUGUGACUCAGAGAGAGAAAACCAGCCACCGUCUAUACAUUAAAAUCAGAUGCAUCAUAAGAAGUAGUAUAUGUAUUCAUUCAUUUAUGCAUGCUGUUUAAGAUUGUUUUGGGCUGCAUUUUGUUUUUGCUAAAAUAAUGUUCAAGGCUAAAUGUUUAAUUGGGUUGUUGUGACUUUUCCGGGCUGUGUGGCCAUGCUCCAGAAGUAUUUUCUCCUGAUGCUUCACCCACAUCUAUGGCAGACAUUCUCAGAGGUUGUGAUGUCUGUUGGAAAUUAGGCAAGUGGGGUUUACAUAUGUUCAGAGUGGGAGGAAGAACUUUUGUCUGUUUGAGGCAAAUGUGAAUGUUGCAAUUGGCUACCUUGAUUGGCACUGAAUAGCCUUGCAGCUUCAAAGCCUGGCUGCUUCUUGUCUGGGGGAAAUCCUUUGUUGGGAGGUGUUAGCUGGUUCACACAUGUUUAAUUAUUUUUAAAAAUCCUGAAAUAUCGAUAUUAUUACUGUUACUAUUUUUAUAACCUGCCAUAAGGACUCAAGGCGGAUAACAACUACACAAUCUAAUAAUGAUUCAAAACAAUUAAAUAUUAGUGCAUGGAUAUAAAGUUAAAAUACAGUAAAUACAAUUUAAAUUACAUUAUUAUUGUUAUUUAUUCCAAAUGUUUUUAAAUUCUUGGUGAUCCUUUUUAGAUUGCAUUUUGUAUCCUUAUAUUGCAAACUGCUACGAAGAUGUUAGCAUAUUGAGCUAGUAUUUACGACUGUGAAGUAUUUUAGGUCUGCUAAUAGGUUUUUAAUGGUUUUAUCUGUUUGAAUAAUUUCAACAUUUAACCUUAUUUUCAUAGUUCUUUAAGGUUUUAAAUUAAAUAUUGUAUUGUUUUAGUGUUAAUGUCCAGGGCAGGAAAAAGACCAAGUCUCUCAGUCUUCUGUGGGCCCAGGAGAGAGUUUUUCAUCCGGCCUCAGCCACUGAUUGAGGUUCCAGGUUUUAGCCUGCCACUUUUGGACUCUCGCUUACUGAGAUGUUCCUGUGAGUGUCUCUGUAAAUCUUAGGAAGCUGUGUCUUGAUUUAAGGUGUUGGCUUGCUGAAUGAUAUCCAAACAGAGGAUGGGCUGGAGAUGUCAGUGCCUUGGUCCUUUCAUUAUAGGCUGUUACUGUUACUUCUUGACAGAUGUCAGGUGGUGCAAUACUAGCUAAACAGCAUAAUUUCUCCAGUGGUGUAGGGCGUAGGCUUCCUGUGAUAAUGUGGCAUGUCUCAUGAAGAGCCACAUCCACUGUUUUAACAUGGUGAAAUGUGUUCCACACUGGGCAUCCGUAUUCAGCAGCAGAGUAGCAGAGCACAAGGGCAGAUAUCUUCACUGUGUCUGGUUGUGGUCCCAAGGUUGUGCCAGUCAGUAAGAAGAA